GAUGAACGCUGGCGGCGUGCUUAACACAUGCAAGUCGAACGAGGUCUUCGGACCAAGUGGCGGACGGGUGAGUAACGCGUGAGUAUCUGCCCUAAGGUGGGGGACAACAGUUGGAAACGACUGCUAAUACCCCAUAUGCCGAGAGGUGAAAGGUUAACUGCCUUAGGAUGAGCUCGCGUCUGAUUAGCUAGAUGGUGGGGUAACGGCUUACCAUGGCGACGAUCAGUAGCUGGUCUGAGAGGAUGAUCAGCCACACUGGGACUGAGACACGGCCCAGACUCCUACGGGAGGCAGCAGUGGGGAAUUUUCCGCAAUGGGCGAAAGCCUGACGGAGCAACGCCGCGUGAGGGAGGAAGGUCUUUGGAUUGUAAACCUCUUUUCUCAAGGAAGAUAAUGACGGUACUUGAGGAAUCAGCAUCGGCUAACUCCG
rnacentral:rRNA from 1 species